UCUGUGCACAGGCAGCUAUGUGAUGAAGUUCCUCUCUUCCUAUUCACCUCAUCAUCCAGUGGAUGGAAUAAAAUAGUUUCAAACCACAAUGCCAAGUGCAUCUUUGGCAAAAAAAAAAAAAAAAAAAAAAAAAAAAAGGAUUUCGUGGAUUUGAUUUUUAAUCGAGGAUGCUCGUCUAUCCAUUUCACAUACAUAUGACUGGCGACCUACAAAAUCUCAUAAUGCCAAGAGGCAGCUGGAGCAGUGACUCGCCCGGAGGAGGAAGUAAACGCAGCACGGGCUCAUGAGGCUGAUGCAACAUGAGAGGUGGCAGACAAAUGGAUGAUGAUCUAAAGGAAUCGAUUAAACGAUCUGAUCUGGAUCCUUUCAUAUCAGCGAUGGUGAAACAAUGGUCAGAACUCACAACUCCUAAUAUCUGUGAGCACCGAUGUCCUGAUAGUUCCAGUUCAAGGGGUAAAAUAUCUAAUAUAAAGAUACAAUAUAUAACAUAAUAUAUAAAUAUGCAUGAUACAUUGUAUAAUAUGUCUAAAAUAUGUCUGUUAACUCUUUUAGCAGAAACUUUUAUCCAAAGCGACUUUCAAAUGAGAAGUAGUGUUACCAUGUUCUGCCUUGGAUAAUUGCUUCUGCUUUUAUUAUUCUCAUCUUGUAAGUUGCUUUCGAAAAAAGCGCCAGCUAAAUGAGUAAAUGUAAAAAAUGUCAAUGUAAAUAUUUACA